rnacentral:rRNA from 1 species
AUUGAACGCUGGCGGCAUGCUUUACACAUGCAAGUCGAACGGCAGCGCGGGCUUCGGCCUGGCGGCGAGUGGCGAACGGGUGAGUAAUACAUCGGAACGUGCCCAGUAGUGGGGGAUAGCUCGGCGAAAGCCGGAUUAAUACCGCAUACGACCUGAGGGUGAAAGCGGGGGAUCUUCGGACCUCGCGCUAUUGGAGCGGCCGAUGGCAGAUUAGCUAGUUGGUGGGGUAAAGGCCUACCAAGGCGACGAUCUGUAGCUGGUCUGAGAGGACGACCAGCCACACUGGGACUGAGACACGGCCCAGACUCCUACGGGAGGCAGCAGUGGGGAAUUUCGGACAAUGGGCGAAAGCCUGAUCCAGCAAUGCCGCGUGUGUGAUGAAGGCCUUCGGGUUGUAAAGCACUUUUGGCGGGAACGAAAAGGACUGUGCCAAUACCACGGUUCGAUGACGGUACCCGCAGAAUAAGCACCGGCUAACUACGUG